rnacentral:rRNA from 1 species
UACGGGAGGCAGCAGUGGGGAAUAUUGCACAAUGGGCGCAAGCCUGAUGCAGCCAUGCCGCGUGUAUGAAGAAGGCCUUCGGGUUGUAAAGUACUUUCAGUCGUGAGGAAGGUGUUAAGGUUAAUAACCUUAGCAAUUGACGUUAGCGACAGAAGAAGCACCGGCUAACUCCGUGCCAGCAGCCGCGGUAAUACGGAGGGUGCGAGCGUUACUCGGAAUUACUGGGCGUAAAGCGUGCGUAGGUGGUUUGUUAAGUCUGAUGUGAAAGCCCUGGGCUCAACCUGGGAAUGGCAUUGGAAACUGGCUUACUAGAGUGCGGUAGAGGGGUGUGGAAUUCCCGGUGUAGCAGUGAAAUGCGUAGAUAUCGGGAGGAACAUCUGUGGCGAAGGCGACACCCUGGGACCAGCACUGACACUGAGGCACGAAAGCGUGGGGAGCAAACAGGAUUAGAAUACC